AGUAACAGAAAUAACAUAAGUGUCCAGAGAUGCUGAUGUCUUUAAAAAUCUACACCUAAAAACCAAGUGUGGAGACUGGGAUAAUACACAGAUAAACAUCAUUGGCCAAGAGACAUUCUCAGCCAUCCUGGUGAAUGAAAUUGGGGGAAAUCAUGAAACCAUGUUAACUGGGCCCUUCCCAGCAGCAAGGGUGGAUAGAGUUCUGGACCUGGAAUCAGGAAGAAUGGAGUUCAAAUCUGGCCUCAUAAACCAAUCUGACUCUGGACAAGUCACAACCCCUCUGUAUUCGCCUGAGUUUCCUCAGCUAUCAAGUAGGGCUAAUAAAAGCAUCCACAUCCUAGUGUUGUAAGGAUAAAAUGAAAAAAAAAGUAACAAUUGUAAAGCGGAUAGCACAGUGCCUGGCAAAUAAUAAGCACUA